rnacentral:rRNA from 2 species
AGCCUGAGCGAAUCGACGGGAGCUUGCUCCCUGAGAUUAGCGGCGGACGGGUGAGUAACACGUGGGCAACCUGCCUAUAAGACUGGGAUAACUUCGGGAAACCGGAGCUAAUACCGGAUACGUUCUUUUCUCGCAUGAGAGAAGAUGGAAAGACGGUUUACGCUGUCACUUAUAGAUGGGCCCGCGGCGCAUUAGCUAGUUGGUGAGGUAAUGGCUCACCAAGGCGACGAUGCGUAGCCGACCUGAGAGGGUGAUCGGCCACACUGGGACUGAGACACGGCCCAGACUCCUACGGGAGGCAGCAGUAGGGAAUCUUCCGCAAUGGACGAAAGUCUGACGGAGCAACGCCG